rnacentral:lncRNA from 10 species
AUUCAGCGGCGCUGGCUGGAGCUGAGAUGGAAGUUAGUUUCUAUGUAGCAGAAAUAUGAAACAAAUGAAGCAAAACUGCCCAGAGAGGGGAAAUGCCCCAAGGAUGGGUCUCACUCACGCGCGUACACAGACACACACGCAGAGAGCACUCUCACGCUGGGCAAGCUCGGGAUCGCGCUACCCUUCCCGAGUUGAAUGAUAGUGUUUGGUUUCUGUCUCUUGCCAUGUGCAUGUGUAUAAAUGCUGCGGAUUGGCAUCUGUGUAAGUCUUGUCCUGCGUUAUUUCUGCAGCCUAUGCAAGUGUUGUGUAAUUUAUUGGAGUGCUGUAUAUUGCAAUAGAGGUUUGGGCUGCUUUUUGUUAAGCACUUGCGUUUUGCAAACCCGUUAUUUGCUGAAGCCACCUCUGCAUAUUUCUUUUAUUACUGCCAUUGCCUUUGGCGUACGUUUUUUAAAUGUUUUUUAUUGUUAAACGGGCAAAGCGAACUCUUGAUUUGUACUUCAGAUACUCUUUUUCCUUAUUACAAAAAGGCUAGUGAUGGCUAAUUAGGUAUUUGGAAUUAAAGAACCUUAAAGCUUUUUUAAGUGUUUACGAGAAGGGAGAAUGUAAACCUGAGGGAAAGGAAAGGACGCUAAUAUUCAUGUCUAACUGAUCUGGAGGUAAUUUAGUGACAGAUCGAUAACCUGCCUAAGGAUAUUGAAAGAGUAUACUACAGUUUAGCCAAGGUGAAUAGUGAUUAAAUAAUUUAAAUAAUCUGUGUAUCUUGCAGUUGACUUCGUCAUGCUAAUUAAUGGCUUCUAAUUUGAGAUGUAAACCAUUCCUGUUUACAGUUAAUCACGGGAAGACUUCUUGAAAACUGACGAAAAGGAGAAAAAAAAAUCUUUCGUAAAUUAGUAUGUAAUUACCGAUUUUAUAUGCUAAAUCAUACAUCUGUGUUUUGCUGAUGAGGAUAAGGGCCUUGUUUUUAAAAAAACGAAUAUGGGUGAAAUUAAUGGAAACAAUAGAAAAAGCCAUUUGUUAGAAAACAAGGACACCAAAUGAUAUUUAUCUCCAGAUGAUUUAAGCACUUUCCAAAAAGACUUGAGAGUUCAAUAUUUUUUAAGGAUUGCAUUUUAAAGGGAAUUUGGAUAGUCGUUCUUUUGUUAACAUUUAACAAAAGAUUCUCCUUAAAAAUGUUAGAUAAUAAACUGCAUUUUAUGGGUCUGGUUUAAAAAGGUUAUUUGUGGGGAAAGGACCAACAAGCUGUAUUGUGGUUUUCUAGAUUGUUUCCUCAAGCCUUGUAACCUCCUAGCUCCUUACAUUCCUAGUGGGAAAUACUUGCUGCAAAUGCCUUGGGCUGCACUGUAAGCCCAAGUGUGCUGCACCAGUGUGAUGCCCUAUACUAAAACAUCCAGAAAUCAUCAUACAUAUGAGGAAGAAGAAAUAAAGCCUCAAACCCUUUGGAAUAAUAGGAUAUAAAAUUGCCUUUUGUAACUGAAUCUUAAAAAUGGAAGGUUACCAUGACUUGUCCUAUUGCAACCUGGUUAUCAGAAUAACUUAUUUUUUUUAAGAUAGCUAUUCUCAAAUACUGAACAUAUUUGCAUCUUUAAAGACACUUUAUUCUAUUCAAUUAUAGGUAAAGUAGCCUAUUUCUAGGUGGUUAGGCUUGAAAAGAUAGACUGAAAAGAUAGGAAAUUUUGUAUGCCUUUUUGCAAAUUGUAUUUACUUCUAAGACCGAUGCUGUUUUAGCUUAACUUUUAAAAAAGUGUUCUUCAAAUAAUUGUAAUAUUUUACACGAUCUUGAAGUUCUUCAAAUAAACAGAGUUUAGAAACUAAAAAUUAUAGUGGGAUUUUCUGGUUUUGAAGGCUUGGAAUGUAUGAUUCUUACUAAUAGAUGUUUUAUUCUUGUGAUUGAAAAUAAACCAAAUUAUGACAUGGAAUAUAAUAUUACUCUGGGUA